UCUGAGAAAAAACCAGGUUUGUGUAUAGUGUCCAUCCACACAGGAAUGCCAAGCAGCUUUCAUUUAAAAGUAAAGACCUUGCAUGAAGAGGAAGCCUGCCUUGGAAAAGAGAAGAGAACAACAAAAAAGGACAGAAAAAAGAAAGCAGCCCAGGGCCUGCAGAAGUGGUGGUGUCCAGCCCUGGCCGGCUCACGACCUGUCCCCUCAAGGACAACGUCGGUCCCUGUGGAGAAGCCACAGACAAGGGGGAUAACCCCUGGCCCAGAGCAAGUUUGUGCUUCUGGACAAAGGUAUUCUGCCACAGUGAGUGGUGCAUUUGACGGGUUGCAGAGAGGAGCUGGAGCCAGACCCUGUGUCCCCUUCCUGCAGGAAAGAGACCAGAGAAUGAAGAGAGGCACAUUUCAGGAAGCCAUGACAGGCAGUGGGGAACGCAUCUCGUCCUUACAGUGGGAAACACGACGAAAACACUGACCUUUUGACCCACAGAUAUUUAAAGACCCAAAGCAUUAGGGCCCCUGGCGCUCACCAACCUUCCUGAGGAACCCCUCUGGGGACCCACCCCGGGAAACAUCCAGCACCAAGAGAAGCAAGCGUCAAGCCAAUAUAGUGAAGUUUAUUCCAAUACUGAAGCUACUGUGAGGUGCCAGCAAGCCCCUAUUACAGACCUGAAGGGGCAGAGAAGGACCUGCACCAAGCCAGGUGGUGCCCGAGCUUCAGCCCAGAGUUGGUUAGAAGCAGGCAUCUGGCUGGCACAGCGACAGUGACUUCAGAAGCCCAGGAGGUGGAAGGACUGCAUCAGCUGGAGGCCUUCAGCUGCAGAGAAGGUCCAGACUCCAGGGAUGGACUUGCCCAUGUCCACAGGGGUCAGGCCAGGAUCGGCAGAGUCCAAAGGUCCAAGACAGCCAGGUGGGGUGACCUGCCUGUAAGUGCAGGGGCCGCAUAGUGAGGGGGACCCAGAUGCAGGGGAGCAGCUGUCAGGAUGGAGAAGCGCCGUGUCCGGCACCCGCAUCCCUGGACCUCAGCAGACGGCAUCGCCGCGGGCAGGCUGUGAGCCUCCUUCCCUGGCAUGGAGGACACACCGCUGUCUCCCUGCAGACCUCGUUCUGUGCAUUGGCAGAGUGAGUGCAGGGUGUGCUUUGCACGUAGGCCUUGUGCUGGGAGCGUUCUCCUGCCCGGUCACGCCUGCUCACUGAUGGCUUCGCGGCCAGCAGGUGUGAUGUGAUGUGGUGUGGCCACCACAGGGUGCUCACGUUGGCUUCUGGGGGAGCAGGGCCAGCGGUCACCUCUGCCUCGCAGGCAGUCCUGAAGCUAGGCCCAUGUUGGGCCAGAAGCAGCCCUUGGAACCUGGGGGGUUGCACUUGCAGGACAUGGACAGUGAUGGGCUGACCAAUACUCCCGGACAGCCAGCAGACUCUGCUGCCAGCUGGAGCUGUAAGGGACCCCAGUCCCUGUCUCCCUGGGGUCCCCCGGCUCCUGGCCUGCUUCAGUCUUCCCAUGAGCCCCAGACUGACAGCAGGUGAUUGAAGAGUGGUUCUAGGCUGCCUAUGGCCUCUGGGUAUGGAAGCCAGUGCUUCAUGCUGCCCUGGGACCUCCAGGACCUCACAGGGCGGCCUCCCUAGAAACAGGCCUCUGCUGGAGCUGUUCCUGCUUGGCCUUGGAAAGGACAGGACCCCAUCCUUCCUGGUGCUGCCGGCCCUUCACCCCCACGUCACUGGACUCCAGGCCCCACCUUGGGGCCUGUGUUCUUGCCAUGGAUUCCCAAGGCUGGAGGACAGAGGCUGGACCAAAGGUACACCCCCACAGGCCUGGCCUGACCCCUUGCCCUAGGACACACAAAGGCCUGGGGAGGGGACAGGGAGAGCUUGCAUGCGAUCUGGGCAGUCCCUUUCCAGCCUCAGACUCUGUGGCUUGGGCCUCUGCGGGAUGCACCUUGACCACUGAGGCCUCCAGGUAGGCGAGGCCCGAGAGGAGGGCUGCCAGGGGAGCCCGGGCAACAGACACACGACCCCACAGCCCUGAGGGGCAGACAUGUCUGCUGGGCCCACGGCACCCAGGCUUCCGAGGCUUGUCUGGGGCAGAGAUGUCCAUGCUGCACCAUGGGGACGACCAAAGGGUUGGGGAGCUGCUGGCAGCCGAAACGUCUGCCCAGCUGGCCAGGAGGCUGCCCCAUCUCGGCCUCAUGGAGUCCUGCCCUUGGCAUCUUGAGCGUCUUUCCAGAACAGGGCUGCUUGUGCUCAGGUGCUCCCCAGUCACCCCUCUAAACAGAGACCGGGCUGGCGGGCUGUAAGGACAUCAGGCCUUGCCCCGCCCAGCCCCAGCACCAGCGUUCCGGUGUCCUCUCAAGGGCCUGCAGCCCCCCUUCCCUUCCUGCAGCCCUCUGACCCACCGCCCUGCUUCCUGGCUUGGUCCUCCCUCUUUCCCACACUCACACACCCUGGGGGCCCAUUGACGGCUGCAGGCUGCCUCUGAGCUGUGAGCAGCCUCCUGGCCUUCGCCCGGCAAGCCCUUGUUUGCCAAUAGAUAUUUGACCAGGGUGGGGCUUAGCGCUCAGGUUGGUCCUAACCGGGCCUAAAGUCAGAGGAUCCUAUGACAGUGCACAGAGACCUGGAGGCCGAGCCAGGGGCAGGGGCACGGGGGAGCGCCCUCAGCAGCACUCUCCGACUGCACUGGGGCUGGGCUCCAGCAUGUAAGCCCAAAGACUCCAGAGGCGGAGCUGCCCCUCUCUGAGAACGGCCACACAAGCAGAGCUGAAUCCCCCAUGGGAAGGAUGGGCCGAGGGAAGUCGCGCCAGCAGGUGAAGGACGCAGGGAAAGGCCCUGAGCAGCAGCCAGAUCCGUCACCCCACCCCAGUUCACGUGGCGCCCUGUGCCCCUGCCUUAGCUGCGUAGGGAGUGGGCCAGGUGUGGGAGGCCACAGCCCUGCAGGCCUGACUGACACUGGGGGUGGGAGGCUGCCUCCCACUCUCCCACGGGCCUUUGCUGGCUGCCCUGGAGCUGGCCCCAGGCGGACCUCAGAGACAGAGAGGCCCCCAUCUUGAAUGACUUACUGCCCACCACUUUCCUGCUUGUCCUUUGGGCCCCUGUGGGCGUGGGGAGGGGACCAUCAGCGCCUGGGGCAGGUCCUCGCCCCUUACUCUGUUUGCUCUGGUCAGUCCUGGAAGCCAUUGUUCCACAUGGGAUCUGUCGGUUUUUGCUGAUGGCUGGUGGUUUUUGCUGAUGGCUGGUGAUCGGUUGGGUAAUAGUACAAAGCCAGAUAUGCGUUUUGUUUUCCCUUAAUUCAUAGAAAUGCACAGUACAAGUCAAGCACAGUGGGGCACACCUAUAUUCCUAGCGGCUUGGGAGGCUGAGGCAGGAGAAUCCAGAGUUCAAAGCCAGCCUCAGUAAUGGCGAGGCACUAA